rnacentral:lncRNA from 1 species
UUAGUCUGAAUUGUGUAUUGAAUGUGUAUGUAAAAGAAUGGCAAUAAUGAAGAUUUAUUUGCUAUAAACUGUUUAAAAGCAUAAGAAACCUUGACAAAUCAUGUGGACAUUUAUGAAUGAAAUAAUGUACACAUUGUUAUUUUUCUAGCUGAAAAUAUGGAUUCUACAAACUAACUAUUAAUCAAAGGUGCCUGUCUUGAGCAGAGUCCUCUGAGGAGAUUUAGGCAUAGAUCAGUGCUUUAGUGCGAUUGACAUUUAAAGGCAAUGUUCCCGCGUUCGCGGAGACUGCAUUCAUGGUAAAUGCUGCAUUUGUCGGCUCAAUUGAAAAUGAUCUAUUGCAAUCACGCUAUAGCUCUGAUCUUCCAUGACACGGAUUGAAUCUAGCCCAUAGGCUUCAUUCACGGGGAGAGCCACAGGGCCAGUGGACCUCUGAGAGACAGCUGAGAGGGAUCCGAUAGACCCAGAGGGCUGUGACAUCCAGACCUAACAUCUGAGAGACCAACAGGGCUGUGACAUCCAGACCUAACAUCUGAGAGACCAACAGGGCUGUGACAUCCAGACCUAACAUCUGAGAGACCAACAGGGCUGUGACAUCCAGACCUAACAUCUGAGAGACCAACAGGGCUGUGACAUCCAGACCUAACAUCUGAGAGACCAACAGGGCUGUGACGUCCAAACCUGAGAGACCAUCAGGGCUGUGACGUCCAGACCUAACAUCUGAGAGACCAACAGGGCUGUGACGUCCAGACCUAACAUCUGAGAGACCAACAGGG